GAGUGCUCCAGGCAGGCCUAUGCUCGAAUACAUUAGCAUGGAAUAAUAGAAUAGGACGUGUGGUUCUAUUUUGUUGGUUUCUAGGACCGCCGUAAUGAUUAAUAGGGACAGUCGGGGGCAUCAGUAUUCAAUUGUCAGAGGUGAAAUUCUUGGAUUUAUUGAAGACUAACUACUGCGAAAGCAUUUGCCAAGGAUGUUUUCAUUAAUCAGGAACGAAAGUUAGGGGAUCGAAGACGAUCAGAUACCGUCGUAGUCUUAACCAUAAACUAUGCCGACUAGGGAUCGGACGGUGUUAUUUUUUGACCCGUUCGGCACCUUACGAGAAAUCAAAGUGCUUGGGCUCCAGGGGGAGUAUGGUCGCAAGGCUGAAACUUAAAGAAAUUGACGGAAGGGCACCACCAGGGGUGGAGCCUGCGGCUUAAUUUGACUCAACACGGGGAAACU
rnacentral:rRNA from 1 species